rnacentral:rRNA from 1 species
CCUACGGGAGGCAGCAGUGGGGAAUUUUGGACAAUGGACGCAAGUCUGAUCCAGCCAUGCCGCGUGCGGGAAGAAGGCCUUCGGGUUGUAAACCGCUUUUGUCAGGGAAGAAACGGGUUUCUCUAAUACAGAGACCUAAUGACGGUACCUGAAGAAUAAGCACCGGCUAACUACGUGCCAGCAGCCGCGGUAAUACGUAGGGUGCAAGCGUUAAUCGGAAUUACUGGGCGUAAAGCGUGCGCAGGCGGUUAUGCAAGACAGAGGUGAAAUCCCCGGGCUCAACCUGGGAACUGCCUUUGUGACUGCAUAGCUAGAGUACGGUAGAGGGGGAUGGAAUUCCGCGUGUAGCAGUGAAAUGCGUAGAUAUGCGGAGGAACACCGAUGGCGAAGGCAAUCCCCUGGACCUGUACUGACGCUCAUGCACGAAAGCGUGGGGAGCAAACAGGAUUAGAUACCCUGGUAGUCCACGCCCUAAACGAUGUCAACUGGUUGUUGGGAGGGUUUCUUCUCAGUAACGAAGCUAACGCGUGAAGUUGACCGCCUGGGGAGUACGGCCGCAAGGUUGAAACUCAAANAGAGUAGACGCGUGAGACGUGCCGACGGACGACGACGAGGGAGGAGG